UGCGUAGGCGGUUACUUAAGUAGGGUGUGAAAUCCCAUGGCUCAACCAAUGGAACUGCGCUCUAAACUGGGUGACUUGAGUGAGAUAGGGGUAUGCGGAACUUCCAGUGGAGCGGUGAAAUGUGUAGAUAUUGGAAGGAACACCGGUGGCGAAGGCGGCAUACUGGGUCUUAACUGACGCUGAGGCACGAAAGCUAGGGUAGCGAACG
rnacentral:rRNA from 1 species